UACGUAGGUGGCGAGCGUUGUCCGGAUUUAUUGGGUUUAAAGGGUGCGUAGGCGGCUCUAUAAGUCAGUGCUGAAAUAUCCCGGCUUAACCGGGAGGGUGGCAUUGAUACUGCAGAGCUUGAGUAAAGUUGAGGUGGGCGGAAUUGACGGUGUAGCGGUGAAAUGCUUAGAUAUCGUCAAGAACACCGAUUGCGAAGGCAGCUCACUAAGCUUUAACUGACGCUGAGGCACGAAAGUGUGGGGAUCAAACAGG
rnacentral:rRNA from 3 species